rnacentral:lncRNA from 1 species
GGUGCGAGACUUAGACACUAGUGGACAGACAAUUUAGUUUCUUAUUUCUAAUCCUCUUCCCACAACACUGUCCUUGCAGCUUCUGAGUCAGCCUGAUUGCUUGAUUCACAGUGAAUCAAGACACAGUUUAGAAGCGUAGAUGUUUAGAGGAGACAAUUAAAGUUUUGGUUGAGGGCUUUAUUAGGCUGGGAAAAUGAAUGCCUCCCUUAACCAGAAGACUCCCAUAAAGUUCCAAGCACCGAAAUACUCCUUAUGUACUCAGGCUCAAGUCAUGCCCCUUUUACUGAGACUGAAAUGCAUCCCCCACUUAGCACCUGAAACUCUCACCUGAGAGGAGGCACAGAGCUGGACAAGAGGAAAGGGCAGUGAGCAGGGGGUUGUGGUCAGCGUGGUAGGGAUGGUAGCUGGUAGCACAGGGCUUGGGAUACAGGGUAAGGCAGCAGGUGUGAGCACCGUAAGCUUCACAUGCUGACACUGUGCUGCAGAGAUCGAAUGGGACAGCCUAGACAGGAAAUACA